rnacentral:rRNA from 1 species
UACGGAGGGUGCAAGCGUUGCUCGGAAUUAUUGGGCGUAAAGGGUAGGUAGGUGGUCUUAUUUGUCUGGGGUGAAAGCCUUGAGCUUAACUCAAGAAGUGCCCCAGAAACGGUGAGACUAGAGUCCUGGAGAGGGAUGCGGAAUUCCAGGUGUAGCGGUGAAAUGCGUAGAUAUCUGGAGGAAUACCGGUGGCGAAGGCGGCAUCCUGGACCGGCAUUGACGCUGAGGAGCGAAAGCCAGGGGAGCAAACGGG